rnacentral:rRNA from 1 species
UACGGAGGAUGCAAGCGUUAUCCGGAAUGAUUGGGCGUAAAGCGUCCGCAGGUGGCUGUGUAAGUCUGCUGUUAAAGAGUGAGGCUCAACCUCAUAAAGGCAGUGGAAACUACAUGGCUAGAGUGCGUUCGGGGCAGAGGGAAUUCCUGGUGUAGCGGUGAAAUGCGUAGAGAUCAGGAAGAACAUCGGUGGCGAAGGCGCUCUGCUGGACCAUAACUGACACUCAGGGACGAAAGCUAGGGGAGCGAAUGGG